AACUAAAUGUGUAGUUAAGCAAAAAAAAAAAGACUUUUUUCCACACUAUAAAAUGAUCAACCAAUUCCUAUUUCUAGAUUCAUAAAAGAGAAAACAUGGCUGAAGUUUAUAUAUUUAUUUAUGCUAUGAUUAUUGUUUUUUCCAUAUUUAUUUCUAUAACAAACUGCAGUAAGUAAUUUUUAUCAACGCUUCUAAAUUUGGUGAACGGUCGUACUUGAGAGUUUAGUUUGAUUCUGGCAUAUCAAUAUGCGAAAGAACUCAGCAAUGCCAUGAUUUAAUCUGUCUCCAUCCUGAAAUUCCAUAUUGCAACUUCAAUAUUCAGAAUCCAAUAAAGUACAUCUUGGGAUUUGGGAUUUGUGAAUGUAUAAACCUUAAUAGGGGCUUAUGAAUGUGUGAAGACACUGUAAAAUGAUUUCUUUCAAAAUAAUGUUUAAAGAACGUUCUGGAGUUACUCGUUAGUAACAUCCUUAAAAUUAAAUAAGUGGUUUGUACCCAAAAAAAAAAGUGGUUUCUUAACUAGUGCCAUAUAUAGAUUCUAUAGCUAGCAUUUUUCAUUAA